rnacentral:rRNA from 1 species
UACGUAGGGGGCGAGCGUUGUCCGGAGUUACUGGGCGUAAAGAGCGUGUAGGCGGCCAUACAGGUCCGUUGUGAAAACUCGAGGCUUAACCUCGAGACGUCGAUGGAAACCGUAUGGCUAGAGUCCGGAAGAGGAGAGUGGAAUUCCUGGUGUAGCGGUGAAAUGCGCAGAUAUCAGGAAGAACACCCGUGGCGAAGGCGGCUCUCUGGGACGGUACUGACGCUGAGACGCGAAAGCGUGGGGAGCGAACAGG